rnacentral:rRNA from 1 species
CCAAUAGCGUAUAUUAAAGUUGUUGCAGUUAAAAAGCUCGUAGUUGAAUUUCGGAAUCAAUUUGGUGGUCGUGCCUCGGUACGUACUGGUAUUAUUGGUUUCUACCUUCUGAAGAACCUUGAUGUCAUUAAUUUGGUGUCUUGGGGAAUCAGGACUGUUACUUUGAAAAAAUUAGAGUGUUUAAAGCAAGCAUACGCUUGAAUACAUUAGCAUGGAAUAAUGAAAUAGGACGUUUGAUUCUAUUUUGUUGGUUUCUAGGAUCGACGUAAUGAUUAAUAGGGAUAGUUGGGGGCAUUAGUAUUCAAUUGUCAGAGGUGAAAUUCUUGGAUUUAUUGAAGACUAACUACUGCGAAAGCAUUUGCCAAGGAUGUUUUCAUUAAUCAAGAACGAAAGUUAGGGGAUCGAAGACGAUCAGAUACCGUCGUAGUCUUAACCAUAAACUAUGCCGACUAGGGAUCGGAUGAUGUUAAUUUUUUAAUGACUCAUUCGGCGCCUUACG